rnacentral:rRNA from 1 species
GACGUAGGGCGCGAGCGUUGUCCGGAUUUAUUGGGCGUAAAGAGCUCGUAGGCGGCUCGUUGCGUCAGCUGUGAAAACCCGCAGCUCAACUGUGGGCUUGCAGCUGAUACGGGCAGGCUUGAGUUCGGUAGGGGAGACUGGAAUUCCUGGUGUAGCGGUGAAAUGCGCAGAUAUCAGGAGGAACACCGAUGGCGAAGGCAGGUCUCUGGGCCACUACUGACGCUGAGGCGCGAAAGCUAGGGGAGCGAACGGG